GCCCUCCUUGUUAAAGGAAGAAAUCGUUCGUCAAUGGAGACACUCCUGCAUACCACGGCGACUUAUCCAAACCCAAAACAGUUUCAUGGUAGAGGAUUGAGUUGGUACAGAAACACAAGCUUCAAUUUUCCAAAUGGGUACUGUUCUGCAGAGCUAUUCACCUCUCGAAAGCUUUCAUUUGGAUUGAGAAGAUAUGUUACUGUUGGGGCCAAGAGGAAGAACAACAAGAAAGAAGACACCCAUAGUUUUGUGCCUAAACCAGAUGAGGCCACUGGGCCCUUCCCCGAGGCUGUACUGCUUAAAGAGAAGAAGGUUCAGGAAGAUGGUAAACUUCUCCCUGAAUUCGCUGAUGUUGAAGAGCGUGAGUGACUCUUAACUUGUAUAUAUGUUUUAAAACUUUCUUGCUUUUGUGUUUGGGGAGACUUAUUAUUAUCAUUUAUGGAAAUUGAAGUAAUAUGACUUUUUAUGAAUUGCAGAAAAACUCUAUGAAUUUCUGAACCUUGAGCUGGAAAGUCAAUUGAAGGUUGAGCGUAGUGAGUAUACUUCCUUCCCAUCGCUUCUUGGUUUCCAUGGUUGGUAUUUGGUAAAUGGUUUCCAUGGUUGGUAUUUGGUAAAAAGGGAAAAAAGAAUGAGGGGAAACAGCAACAUUACUUAUAAAUUGGAUGUUUAAUGAUCUCUUAUUCGAUCUGGUACUGAUGAAAUGUUUUUCAACUCCUCUGGUUAACUUUUUUACAUAUGGGUUUAUAGACUUAUCUCUUAGCAUUUUAUUCUUACCUCUUUUAAUCUGUCAGGUAUAACGAAUUAAAUCUAUGUGGUUUACGGUUUUGUAGAAAAUCAUAGAAAAGUAUGUUGACUGUGGUUAGAAAUUAGCUGGGAUUCCCUUCCAUAGUUAAAGAGGACAUCUGUGCUAAUAUCAUUUGGUUUGGUGUCUCCUUUGUAAUUGCAGUGCGUCACUAUGAAGUGGUUUAUCUAAUCCAUGAGAAGCAUGCAGAAGAAGUUGGCAGUGUUAAUGAAAAAGUUCAAGGUAACACAUUAUACUUCCAUCUCUCAGUUCUGUCCACAUUCUCUCUACACUGUUUAGUUCUACUUUCUCAUUAUUGAUAGUAAAGAGUGAAGUUAAGUCAUGGACCAAGACCAACACAAAUUUGCCUUGUCCCAAUUAUUUGGCUCCUUGUCCAAAAAAACUAAGGUUUUCUUGCCACAUAAGUUGGUAAGCUACUCUAGUUGCACCUUGAUGCUAUACACCAAAGUUGAGUACUUAAUGGUCUUUGACCUUCUCAAGAACAUAGAAGAAUCAGUUUCCACGCAGUGUCAUGGCCGCCCUACCAAACUCUUCCUGGCACCGACUUGGCAUGUAUCUUAUCUAUCACAGUGAGUUUUAGUAAGAUAAUUAUGUCAAUGUUCAUGCAAGUCAUGUUUAGGAUUUCAUCCUUUCCCAUUGCACGUAGUGUUUCAAGGGACACUCGUGUCGUAGAUGAUAAACAAUCAAUAGCGUAUGAACCAUUGAGCUUGUGAUUAUGGUUGGGUUAAGGGUUCCUAUACUUCUCUAAAGUAGUAAUUUGGUAGGGAUACCUCCCAAAAUUCACUAUCAUCUUAUCUCAUUGGUCAAUUGCCCUAUGAGAGUUGAGCCCCAAUCACUAAACUGCCUCAGUAACUCAAAUCAUAACUUCCUUAUGAAACAACUUUUCUGUUGUCAUGAUUAAAAUUUGACCUGGCGGGAGCUCUGGAUGCUUCUAAAUGGUUCUCGCUAUUCAAUUUCCCAAGUUGUUUACAUAGGCGUGCCUGUAUUGAGUUGCAAAUUAUAGCUUGGACUUACUUGAGAACAUGAUCAGAAAGCUUGAUAAAAAUGCCAUCAGGUGUGGCUAUGUUUUUUUUCUGACUUUGCACACUUCUUGAUUCUGACUUAUUAUCAGCCAUUAAAGUGAAUAAGAUAUGACUUGACGCGUUUUUUGGAAACCUAUAGUAAGAAUGGCCCCAUGAGUGUUGAAAUGACACCAAUGCAGCUACUUACUGAUCUAUCCUAGGUUGGUUAGAAUAUUUUCAGUUAUUUAGGUUUGUAACUUUUAAGAAUCAGAAAUGUUCUGUCAAUUGUUUUAUGAUCUUACAUUAGACGAAUGGUGUCUCUAUUUGUUGGGACCUCCAUCUAUUGGUUUGUAGAGGUAUAAUCACAUAAGAUGCAACUUGUUUGACAUUGCUAAAGACAAAUGUCAUCAGAUUUAUGUAAACAUGGAGUUAAAUGUAAUUUUCCUUUGGAGUUGUAUUUCAACCUGACCUGCAAUAUCUUUUACCGCUUAAACUCUUGCUGCAGGUUUUUUAAGGGAGAAGAAAGGCAAGAUAUGGAGACUGAAUGAUUGGGGGAUGCGAAGGCUAGCGUACAAGAUACAAAAAGCCAAAAAUGCCCACUACAUUUUGAUGAAUUUUGAGUUAGAAGCCAAAUGGAUCAAUGAAUUCAAGAGCAUGUUAGACAAAGACGAGAGAGUUAUUCGACACCUUGUGAUAAAGAGAGAGAAAGCGAUCAUGGAGGAUUGCCCACCUCCACCUGAGUUCCACACGUUGCAUGCAGGUAUGGAUGAUAAUGAUGAUGAAGAUGAUUUAGAUUAUGAUGAUGCCUAUGACGAAGAAGGUUAUGAUGAAGAUUGGGAUGGUGAGGGCAAUAUGGA
rnacentral:misc_RNA from 1 species